UUAAAUUAUUUUUUAAUAUUCUCUCGUUAAUAAAUAAGCUGUCUCGUGAUAAUAUUGGCCUGUGUUUGGUGGGCCCACGUGAUCUUUUUUUUUUCCAAGGCCCACGUAAUCUUUGACCGUCUAUCAUAUGAUAGGUCCAUUUGCCCUGUAAAUUGCCACCUUCCACAGAAGUUGCCACUCUUCAUCAUUGCACCGAGAAAUGGGCUUUUCCUCCCUUCCACCGGCCUACCCCUCUCGCUCCGUACUAACGCCGCAAAAGUCUGAAAUUUUUUAUAUUAUUAAUUUUUUCAAUUAAUUUUGAA
rnacentral:misc_RNA from 1 species